rnacentral:rRNA from 1 species
AGGACGAACGCUGGCGGCGUGCUUAACACAUGCAAGUGGAGCGACGAACCAGGGCUUGCCCUGGGGCAGAGCCGCGAACGGGUGAGUAACACGUGGGUUACCUGCCUUGAUGACCGGGACAACCCGAGGAAACUCGGGCUAAUACCGGAUGUGCCCGCAAGGGGAAAGGAAGCUUCGGCCUCCGCAUCAAGAUGGGCCCGCGGCCCAUUAGCUUGUUGGUGAGGUAACGGCUCACCAAGGCUUCGAUGGGUAGCUGGUCUGAGAGGAUGACCAGCCAGACUGGGACUGAGAACGGCCCAGACUCCUACGGGAGGCAGCAGUAGGGAAUUUUCCACAAUGGGCGAAAGCCUGAUGGAGCAACGCCGCGUGCAGGAUGAAGGCCUUCGGGUCGUAAACUGCUUUUCUCUGUGAAGAUUAUGACGGUAACAGAAGAAUAAGGAUCUGCUAACUACGCGCCAGCAGCCGC